CAGUGACUCCUGGUGGCAAACUGAACAAAAGCAGAGAAACCUGGGGAAAAGUAACUCAUGCUCAUGGAAACACUGGCACGGUUCGUGCCAAAUUCCAAAGCAACCUUCCUGCUAAAGCCAUUGGCCACAGAAUCCGUGUGAUGCUGUACCCUCCAAGGAUUUAAACUAACUGAAAAGUAAAUAAAGAAAGAGCGAUGGGUAGAGAAAGAGUGUA